rnacentral:rRNA from 1 species
UGAUCGAAGCCCCGGUAAACGGCGGCCGUAACAAUAACGGUCCUAAGGUAGCGAAAUUCCUUGUCGGGUAAGUUCCGACCUGCACGAAUGGUGUAACCAUGGCCACGCUGUCUCCACCCGAGACUCAGUGAAAUCGAAAUCGCAGUGAAGAUGCUGUGUACCCGCGGCUAGACGGAAAGACCCCGUGAACCUUUACUAUAGCUUCACAGUGGACUCUGAUAUUACUUGUGUAGGAUAGCUGGGAGGCUUUGAAACCUGGGCGCCAGCUCAGGUGGAGCCAAUCUUGAAAUACCAGCCUGGUACUAUUGGGGUUCUAACUCUGGACCAUUAUCUGGUUCGAGGACAUUGUGUGGUGGGUAGUUUGACUGGGGCGGUCUCCUCCCAAAGUGUAACGGAGGAGCACGAAGGUGCGCUAAUCACGGUCGGAAAUCGUGAGGUUAGUGUAAUGGCACAAGCGCGCUUAACUGCGAGACUGACAAGUCGAGCAGGUACGAAAGUAGGUCAUAGUGAUCCGGUGGUUCUGUAUGGAAGGGCCAUCGCUCAACGGAUAAAAGGUACUCCGGGGAUAACAGGCUGAUACCGCCCA